UGGGGAAUAUUGGACAAUGGGGGCAACCCUGAUCCAGCGAUGCCGCGUGAGUGAAGAAGGCCUUCGGGUCGUAAAGCUCUUUAGGUUGGGACGAAGAGUGCGGGGGGAAAUACCUGUACUUUGACGGUACCGACAGAAUAAGCACCGGCAAACUCUGUGCCAGCAGCCGCGGUAAUACAGAGGGUGCGAGCGUUAAUCGGAUUUACUGGGCGUAAAGGGUGCGUAGGCGGUUAUGAGGGUGGGAUGUGAAAGCCCCGGGCUUAACCUGGGACGUGCAUACCAAACGCCAAAACUGGAGUAUGGGAGAGGGUGGUGGAAUUUCCGGUGUAGCGGUGAAAUGCGUAGAGAUCGGAAGGAACGCCAGUGGCGAAAGCGACCACCUGGCCCAAUACUGACGCUGAGGCACGAAAGCGUGGGGAGCGAACAGGAUUAGAUACCCCCGUAGUCC
rnacentral:rRNA from 1 species